UACUAGCCCGGAUGGGAGCGACAUCCUUUUUUUUAUUUUUUGAAGACAAAAAAGAUACAGUGGACAGCCGGAUUAGCU
rnacentral:sRNA from 1 species